rnacentral:tRNA from 1 species
GCGGCUAUAGCUCAACUGGAUAGAGCAUUGGCCUUCGAAGCCAAGGGUUGGGGGUUCGAAUCCCUCUAGCCGUGCCA